GAUGAACGCUGACCGAAUGCUUAACACAUGCAAGUCUUUGGCGAAUCUGUGCUUGCACAGGCUAGCCAAGGCGGACGGGUGAGUAACGCGUAAAGAACUUGCCCUGCAGACAGGGAUAACAGACGGAAACGACUGAUAACACCUGAUACAGUUGCCGGCACGCAUGUGCCUGGCAAUGAAAAGAGAUGCUGCAGGAGAGCUUUGCGUCCUAUUAGCUUGUUGGUGAGGUGACGGCUCACCAAGGCGAUGAUAGGUAGCCGGCCUGAGAGGGUGAACGGCCACGAGGGGACUGAGAUACGGCCCUUACUCCUACGGGAGGAAGCAGUGGGGAAUAUUGGACAAUGGGGGCAACCCUGAUCCAGCAAUUCUGUGUGCAAGAAGAAGGUUUUCGGAUUGUAAAGUGCUUUCAGCAGGGAAGAAGAAAGUGACGGUACCUGCAGAAGAAGCGACGGCUAAAUACGUG
rnacentral:rRNA from 1 species